AUGGCGUCCAACGGCGGCGGAAACAGCAACUCUCCCUACUCUGCGUCGUCGCCGGAUGUCCGCCCGUCGAGCCCGCUCCCGGCCACCAACUCAUCCCCUCCCCAGUCCGCUCGCCGCGCCGGCGGCCGCCUCCGCCGCGGCCCCACCUCGUCUCCCUCCCUCGGCGGGUUCGAGACGCCGCCGCCACCGGGCCGCCGCACUCCGUCCGGUGCUGGCGCAGCCCGGCAGCGCCAAAACUGGACCGGACGGUUUCCGCCAACUCCGUCCACUCCCAUGUCCACCGACGACGUCCCGCUGUCCUCCGAAGCCGGGGAGGAGGACACGCCCGAGACCGACGGCGGCGGCGUCGGCGCCGAUGCCACCCCGGUCUUUGUCUGGGGAACCAAUAUCAGCGUGCAGGACGUGAACGCUGCCAUUCUGCGGUUUCUGCGCCACUUCCGGGACCCCCGCGACGCCGGCCGCGUUGACCCUGUCAUGGACGAGGGCAAGUACAUGCGCGCCAUCCACCGCAUCCUCGAGCUCGAGGGUGGCGAGUCGCUCGAUGUGGACGCACACGACGUCUUCGACCACGAUCCCGACCUAUACGGCAAGAUGGUACGCUACCCGCUCGAAGUGCUUGCCAUCUUCGACAUCGUCCUUAUGGACCUGGUGGCGCGUAUGGAGCCGCUGUUUGAGAAGCACAUUCAGACCAGGAUCUACAACCUCAAGUCAUCCAUUUGCUUGAGGAAUCUGAAUCCGUCAGAUAUUGAGAAGAUGGUGUCAAUCAAGGGUAUGAUAAUUCGAUGCAGCUCAGUCAUACCAGAGCUCAAGGAGGCUGUGUUCCGCUGCCUUGUUUGCGGCUUCUACUCAGAACCUGUCAUGGUUGACAGAGGGAGAGUAACUGAGCCACACAUAUGUCAGAAAGAACAAUGUAAAGCCUCAAAUUCUAUGACUCUAGUGCAUAACCGAUGCAGAUUUGCGGACAAGCAAAUCAUAAAGUUGCAGGAAACACCAGAUGAGAUACCAGAAGGUGGCACUCCUCAUACAGUCAGUGUUUUGAUGCAUGAUAAGCUUGUUGAUGCUGGAAAGCCUGGAGAUAGGGUUGAGAUCACUGGGAUAUAUAGGGCCAUGAGUAUCAGGAUCGGGCCAAGUCAGAGGACAGUGAAGUCAAUAUUCAAGACAUACAUUGAUUGCCUUCACAUAAAGAAGACAGACAAGUCCAGGCUUCAUAUUGAGGACUCUAUGGAUACUGAUAACACCAAUGCUAGCAAGUCUUCUGAAGAUGGCCAUGUCACAGAUAAGAUAGAUAAAUUAAAAGAGCUUUCAAAGUUGCCUGACAUCUAUGAUAGAUUGACUAGAUCACUGGCUCCAAACAUAUGGGAACUGGAUGAUGUUAAGAGGGGCCUGCUUUGCCAGCUUUUUGGUGGCAAUGCUUUGAGGCUUCCUUCUGGAGCUAACUUCAGAGGUGACAUCAAUAUUUUGCUUGUUGGUGAUCCUGGAACGAGCAAAUCCCAGCUUCUCCAGUACAUGCAUAAACUGUCUCCUCGUGGUAUUUACACAAGUGGAAGAGGCAGUUCGGCAGUUGGCCUUACUGCUUAUGUUGCUAAGGACCCUGAAACUGGUGAAACUGUUCUUGAGAGUGGAGCACUUGUUUUGAGUGACAAAGGUGUUUGCUGUAUUGAUGAGUUUGAUAAGAUGUCUGAUAAUGCCCGAAGCAUGCUGCAUGAGGUGAUGGAGCAGCAGACUGUAUCCAUUGCAAAGGCUGGAAUUAUUGCAUCUUUGAAUGCUAGGACAUCUGUCCUAGCCUGUGCAAAUCCAUCUGAAUCACGUUACAAUCCAAGGCUUUCUGUGAUUGACAAUAUCCACCUUCCUCCAACACUGCUGUCAAGGUUUGACUUGAUUUACCUGAUCUUGGACAAGGCAGACGAACAAACUGAUAGACGCCUGGCUAAGCAUAUUGUUUCAUUGCAUUUUGAGAAUCCAGAAGUAGUUGAGCACCAGGUCUUGGAUUUGCCCACGUUAGUUGCGUACAUCAGCUAUGCAAGGAAGUACAUUCAGCCAAAGUUAUCUGAUGAAGCUGCAGAAGAAUUGACCCGUGGCUACGUUGCAAUGAGGCAAAGGGGGAACAAUCCUGGUAGCAGAAAGAAGGUCAUCACAGCAACAGCUAGGCAAAUUGAGAGCUUGAUUCGUCUUAGUGAAGCACUGGCGCGAAUGCGUUUUUCGGAAGUGGUUGGAGUGCUAGAUGUAACAGAAGCCUUCAGGCUUCUUGAAGUCGCCAUGCAGCAAUCUGCAACCGAUCAUGCAACAGGGACGAUUGAUAUGGAUCUAAUCAUGACUGGGGUAUCCGCAAGUGAAAGGCAGAGACAUGACAAUCUUGUUGCGGCUAUCCGAGACCUUGUCAUGGAGAAAAUGCAGCUUGGAGGGCCCUCGAUGCGUAUGGCUGAGUUGCUGGAAGAAGUGAGGAAACAGAGCUCCAUGGAAGUUCAUCAGCAUGAUCUCCGUGAUGCUCUUGGCACACUGCAGAGUGAGGGCUCCGUAUUUGUCCAUGGAGACAGUUUCAAGAGGACCUGA
rnacentral:rRNA from 1 species